rnacentral:rRNA from 1 species
UAAUGGAUGCCUUGGCAGCUUUGGCCUAGGAAGGACGUAUGUAUAUCUACGAUAUCGUCGGGAAAGCGAUACACAGCUUCUGAUCCGGCGGUUUCCGAAUGGGGCAACCCGUCCCGAUUAAAUCGGGACAAUCGUAUGUGAAGGCUUUUGCCGAAAGGUGAGAGUGAUAGCGUGCGGUGGGGCACUACCUGAACUGAAACAUCUAAGUAAGGUAAGGAGAAGAAAUCAAAUGAGAUACCGUCAGUAGCGGCGAGCGAAAGCGGUAUAGCCUAAAUCCGCCGAAAGGCGGACGUUGUAGGGCUUUUAAUAUGGGAGAAAUGCGGAUAAAAGAAUACCUUGGAAUAGGUGACCAAAGAGAGUGAAAGUCUCGUAUUUGAAAUCCAAUUUUCCCCUAGAAAGUUCCUAAGUACCAUGGAGCACGGCAAAACUCCUUGGGAAUCUGGGGGGUCCAUCCUCCAAGGCUAAAUACCAGAGCUGACCGAUAGUGAACUAGUACCGUGAGGGAAAGGUGAAAAGUCCCCCGGAAGGGGAGUGAAAUAGUACCUGAAAUUAUCGACUAACAAACAGUGAAAGCAUCUCGUUUUCACUCGAUGCUUAAAAAUCAAAAAUCAAAAUGCAAAAAUCAAAAGUAAUGUAAAUUUAUAAAAAUAUUUACAAAUUUAUUUUUGACUUUUAACUUUUGAACUUUGAAUUUGAACACCGAGCGAAGGCGAGGUGUGAUCACGUGCCUAUUGAAGAAUGAACCGAUGAGUUGCCGUACGUUUUAUAGUCUAAGCCAGUAAUACUGGUGGAGGCGUAGUGAAAGCAAGCCCGAAAUGGGCUUCCCGAUUUAAUCGGGAUUAAAAGCGUAUGGCGGACCCGAAACCGGUGUGAGCUAAGCCACGACAGGGUGAACCCCGAUGAAAAUCGGGGGGAGGCCCGAACUCGUCGUUGCUGCAAAAACGUGAGAUGAUCGCGGCUUAGAGGUAAUAUGCCAAUCGAACCCGGAGAUAGCUGGUUCUCCCCGAAAUAUAUUUAGGUAUAGCGUCUGGGGUCUCUCUUUCAGGGGUAGAGCACUGAAUGAUUCGCCAAGCGUAAGCGAGGCGAAUCUAUCAAACUCCGAAUACUGAAAGAUAUUCCAGGCAGUCAGUCCUACUCGGCUAAGCGAGUGAGGUCGAAUAGGGAAACAACCCAUACUCUCAAUUAAGGCCCCUAAAUUUUGGCUAAGUUGUAAAUGAGGUCGAAUCGCUUAAACACCCAGGAGGUUGGCUCAGAAGCAGCCACCCUUUAAAGAGUGCGUAACAGCUCACUGGACGAGUGGUUCGGCGCAAAAAAUGAACGGGGAUAAGCCAAAUGCCGAAGUUAGAGAUUCCCGCCUCAUCGGCGGGAGUGGUAGGGGAGCGUUCUUUUUGCGGUGAAGCAUACGCCGUAAGGCGGUGUGGAGCGAAAAGAAGUGCGAAUGUCGGUAUGAGUAGCGAGAUCCCGGUGAGAAACCGGGACGCCGAAAGCCCAAGGUUUCCGUCCCAACGCUCGUCGAGGACGGGUUAGUCGGAUCUAAGACAAGUCCACGUCAAACGUGGGGUAGUUCGAUGUACAAGCCGUAUAACAUUCGGCUACAGAAUUGAGAUAUUACACAGGGGAUGACGGAAAGGGAUGUGUUCUACGGUGGUAUGAUACACCGUCUAAGCUUACCAGGUAGUGAUAGUGGGAAAAUCCAUUAUCAUGAUUAACUGAGGAGCGAUGGAUAGUUCAAAACGAAAGUCGCGGACAAUAGAGAGAGCAUUCAGUUCUCAAGAAAAAUCUCAUGUGGUUUGGACCCUUCGGGGUUUGAACAAUUCUUAAUUUUUCCGUACCGCAAACCGACACAGGUGGGCUGGUAGAGUAUACUAAGGCGAACGGGAGAAAAUGGCUCAAGGAACUCGGCAACAAAAGCUGGGCGUAACCUCUGGGAGAUGCCCUGCCAGGUACCAUCCGGUACCUGGCCGCAGCAAAUGAUGCUAACCAACUGUUUAACUAAAACACAGGUCUCUGCAAAGCCGAAAGGCAACGUAUAGGGGCUGACGCCUGCCCAGUGCACGAAGGUCAAGAGUGGAGGCUGAGAUUAUAUCAAGGUUUUUACUCAAGCCCGUGUGAACGGCAGCAGUAACUAUAACUGUUCUAUGGUAGACCCAAGAAGGGUCCGCUGCCAUAGUGAGGUGUGAACCCUCCGUCAUGUGCUUUCGCCGAAGGCACUAAAACGAAAAUUUGACUAUAUGCUGGGAAGUCUUGUUAAUCUGGAUCUACUAUGGUAAAAUUUUCACAUAGAUGAAAAUUCCAAGUAAAAAAGAUUCCAGUAGAGGCAAUCAGCAGGAAAGACUUAGGAUAGCUAAUUGGAUUGUGGGAUUUGUUGAUGGAGAAGGAUGUUUUUCUGUUUCAAUCUUUAAGAAUCGAACAACGAAAAGUGGAUGGCAGGUAUUGCCAGAAUUUGUUGUAACGCAAGGAGAAAAGAGUAUCAGUGUAUUAGAAGAAAUUAGAAAUUUUUUCGGAUGCGGUAAGCUUUUUGUAAACAGGCGUUACGAUAAUCAUAAAGAAAAUCUUUACCGUUUUUGUGUUCGGGCAAUUAAAGAUUUGAGAGAGAUAAUAAUUCCUUUUUUCGAAGAAAAUCCUUUACGGACUGCAAAGAGAAAAGAUUUUGAAAAAUUUAAAAAUGCAAUUCAACUUAUGAGUAAAAAUGCUCAUCUAUCAAAAGAUGGAUUAGAGCAUCUCAGAGAAAUAAAAAAAUCCUAAGAAUCCUCAGAGACUAUACGUCAAACACCACCUUUGGUGAAGAUAUAGUCCAAGAUAGAUUGUUGUGACAAUCUAAACUGAGCGAAAUUCCUUGUCGGGUAAGUUCCGACCCGCACGAACGGCAGAAUGAGUUAGCAACUGUCUUGAGCCAUUACCCGGCGAAAUUGAAAUGGCUGUGAAGAUGCGGCCUACUUGCACCAGGACAAAAAGACCCCGUGGAGCUUUACUGUAGCUUGACAUUGGGAGGACAUUUUUAACUGUCGAGAAUAGGUGGGACCCCGUCGCAAGGCGGGGAACAGUGGAAUACCACUCUUUGAAAAUGUUGACCCUAACCCCCUUGCCACUCAAAUAACUGGCGGGAGAACAGUGUCUGGCGGGCAGUUUCGCUGGGGAGGUGGCCUCCAAAAGUGUAACGGAGGCGUACAAAGGUUGGCUUAGAUGCAAUGGAAACGCAUCUGGACGUGCAAACGCAUAAGCCAGCUUGACUGCGAGACCUACAAGUCGAGCAGGUGCGAAAGCAGGUGUUAGUGAUCCUCGUUACCGCUAUGGUUGCGGUACGGGCUUAACGAAUAAAAGCUACCCCGGGGAUACAUUCUGUGUCCCGUCCCAAUGGUAUAUACUAACAUUGGGACUUGGAACGGCUAAUAACGGUGGAAUCCUAAUUUGUGGUGGGUUUAGAAAAGUCUUUAUCCCAUACGAGGCACAUAUAGGACAAUACCGUGGGAAGUUAGGAAAUGAAUAAACUAAAAAAAUCAAUUCUUAUUGGGAUGAUUUUAGGAGAUGCCUAUUUACAGCAAACUGGAGAAAAGAAUGCGCGUAUCCGGCUUGAGCAUAGCGAGAAAUAUAGAGAUUAUCUUCUUUGGAAAGGUGAUCAAUUUCCUGAAUAUUUUCAGGGAAAGCCAAAAAGAUACGUACGAUUUAAUCCAGUCUUUAAAAGAACUUAUGCCUAUUUACGAUGGCAGUCAAAUGCAUCUCCUGAAAUCGGAUUACUACAGCGAUUAUUUUAUGCCGAUCAUAAAAAAAUUAUCCCGGCGGAAUUAUCUGAACUUUUGGUUGAUCCAAUUUCACUGGCGGUGUGGUAUCAAGAUGAUGGUUAUUACUAUAAGAGAGACAAAAUGGCUUAUAUAUAUUUACCGAAAUAUACAUUAAAUGAAAUAAAAAUAAUGAUGCAUACGUUACAAGUGAACUUUGGAAUUAAUCCAAGAGUAAAAGUGAAGAAAAGCGGAAAUAUAGUUUUAGUAUUUCCAGUUAUGGAAACAAAGAGAUUAUUUUCUCUUAUUAAACUAUAUAUUAUUCCUAGGAUGAGGUAUAAAAUUUCCUAACCCCGUAUCGACUGAGCAUUAAGUUGCGAGGUCCGCCAGCUGGCGGACAAGAUGCCGUCCCCCGAUUAAAUCGGGGUGAAGAUAUAGUCAACGCCGAUAAGUAAUUAUCGGAAUUCUUAAAUACGUGAACAGGCUGAUCGGAUCCGAGAGUCCAUAUCGACGAUCCGGUUUGGCACCUCGAUGUCGGCUCACCCUAUCCUGGGGCUGGAGAAGGUCCCAAUGGUCCGGCUGUUCGCCGGUUAAAAGGGUACGCGAGCUGGGUUCAGAACGUCGUAAGACAGUAAGAUGACCGUUGCUGUCUAUAAAUCUGACUAAAUGCUGGAAAAGCUGAGUAUGUUAGAGUACUUAAUUUAAGUAACAACCUUUAACUGCAGACAAUCAGCAGGAAAGAUCCCGAUUUUAUCGGGAAAUCCUCAGAGACUAAAUGUCAGACGGAUUUUAAGGAGGUGAUGUAUGUUUUUACAUUACAGCGCUCGAAUUGACGUAAAGUAUAUUUUUGACUGUUAGGUAAUAUCGGGUUAAUAGAGAUCCUACCAGUUUCAGUCCUCGACCCGAAGCGCAAUUAAAAUAAUUAAUCUUUUUUAAUCCGAAGAUAUAGUCCGAACUGCAUAGCGAUAUGCAGAACUUAACAGAAAUGUUAAGUCGAAUGAAAAUUCGUAACAUAAUUGUCGGUCUCUAUCCGGUGCAAGCGUUGGAUAUUUGAGGAGAGCUCACUACAGUACGAGAGGACCUAGUGGGAGGAAUCCCUUGUGUUCCAGUUGUCGAUAUCUUCGGCAGCAAGCUGGAUAGCUACAUUCCUACGGGAUAAGCGCUGAAAGCAUCUUAAGCGCCAAGCCCACUCCAAGAUGAGAUAUCCCUGCCUGCCGUCAGGCAGGCUUUUAGAUCCCUUGUAGAUUACGAGGUUGAUAGGCGGACGGUGUACGCACUGUAAAGUGUUUAGCCCAUCCGUACUAAUUGAUCGAGAGU